rnacentral:rRNA from 1 species
UACGUAGGUGGCAAGCGUUGUCCGGAAUUAUUGGGCGUAAAGCGCGCGCAGGCGGCCUCUUAAGUCUGAUGUGAAAGCCCCCGGCUCAACCGGGGAGGGCCGUUGGAAACUGGGAGGCUUGAGUAUAGGAGAGAAGAGUGGAAUUCCACGUGUAGCGGUGAAAUGCGUAGAGAUGUGGAGGAACACCAGUGGCGAAGGCGACUCUUUGGCCUAUAACUGACGCUGAGGCGCGAAAGCGUGGGGAGCAAACAGG